ACCAAACAGAGGGGCUUCCACACAGUGAGGGGGACAGCAGAGCCAGCCACAGAGAGGGGAAUCGGUAUCCAGCCUGGUGAAGGAAUUCAACAAGAAAACAAAGGAACUGAUUUUAAAAUGGGCAAAGGAUGUGAACAGACAUCUCAAAGGAAGAGAUAUGAAAAUCUGCUCCCACCUUUUACCACCAGGGAAAUGCAAGUUUAGUCGCAGUAAGAUGUCACCUCACACCUUUCAGAAUGACUGCUGAGUACAAUGCAUGCUCAAAGGGAGGUUCUCUGCCCUGGGAGUCGCUGUAGGGAAAAAAACCCAGCGCCCUGGGUCUUCAAAGGGCACCUUUCCUUGGCUCCAGUCUUUAUCCCCAGCCCCACCAAGGUCUUUCCAAACCCGCUUCCUGUUGCAAUGAAGAAGCACCAUUUCUUUAUCCAGUAAGACAGACAGACCUGCCCCUGUCUGUGGCCCUUUGUGGGAACAAUGAAGUCUUAAGCAUCUGAGACCUAAGAUAACACUUGGAUCUCUGGUCUCCUGUGGGGUCCUCGCCCUGCUGGGGCCUGUCCUAAACAGAUUCUGUACCACACAGCCCUGCUGCUCCAGACUGGGGUGGGGCCCUCAAGCUGUUGUCACGAACCCCACAGGUGAUUCUGAUGCACAUUCAAAUUUGGAAACUAACUAACGCCCUGGGGAGUAGGAGGGGUAAUUAAUUAGUCACCCUAAGACUUUGAAGGAGACGUCUGCAUCUUUCAGAGAAAUUGAUGUGGAGAUCAUUCCUAAGUCACUGGGCUCUGGACCUACUGGAAGUCAAACUGGGAAUCCAUUCCCAGGCACCAGAUCUCCCACCUCCCCCAGCACCGCCUCCCUCCCACCCAAAGCACCUUGAUGGGAUUAAAAAUACACCCAAAACUUUUCUGUUUGUAGAACCUAGUGUCAAAUACCGGUGUCCUCGCAGGAGGCACAUUAGCAUUUGAUUAGUAUGUGCAUAGAAAGUUGUCUGAGCCCAAAUACACAAACUGGGAAAUCAAAGAGGGGCCCUCACACCUUUUGCUGGCCUCAUCCUGAACAUUUAUUUGUUUUAAAACAACUUCCUCAGGGAAUUUCCUUCCGAAAAGAAACUCGUCUCCAUUUUAAAGGAAAAUGACCCCCUCUUCCCUACUCCUUAACCAGUUCUGACAGUGACCCCAUAAUGAGAGGGGAGAAGGUGGCAGCUGGCAUUUUUCUUGUCCUCCUUUUUAAAGCUGCAGUGAGACUGUAGAAAACAUCCUCAGGAGAUUUAGAAGCUACAAAGGACUUGAAUUUUUAUAUGGAAUUUAUCCUAAUACCUAGCUAAUGCUUGUGCUUUUGUGCAGAGAAAUAAUUAAAUUAAAAUGCAAUAAACGUUGAACCAUGUUCCUAUGAGGAAAUUAAAAAAAAAAAAACUUUUAACAAAAUGUUUACAGCACUAAGGAAUGGAUUUCCUACUCAAAGUUUCAUCCUAUCAGUAAAGUUUAAAACAAUCCUUACUGAAAGUAAAA
rnacentral:lncRNA from 1 species